AUGAUCCAAAAAACUCCACCACAGUCUUAUAGAUUUAACCACCAAAUUCAGAAACAUAGCAAGAUACAAAGUCAAUACCCAGCAGUGAAAGCUUUCUCCCGGCCCUUGCGGUGUUCUACAUUCUGCACGCAUCUCCGGUGCUCUACAGACACAACGACAGCCUCUGAGUCCCCGGCUUCUUGCUUCUGCUCUAUUACCAAAAUUUUGCUUUCUAACAAGCUGACUCUGGACAAGCUGGAAGUGAAGGGGAAGCAUGUCGUGAUGAGAGUGGAUUUCAAUGUUCCUAUGAAGAAUAACCAGGUAACCAACAACCAAAGAAUCAAGGCUGCUGUCCCAAGCAUCAAAUUCUGCUUGGACAAUGGAGCCAAAUCAGUUGUCCUUAUGAGCCACCUGGGCCAGCCAGAUGGUGUUCCAGUGCCUGACAAGUUUUCCUUACAGCCAUUGCUGUAGAACUCAAGUCUCUGCUGAGCAAGGAUAUUCUAUUUUUGAAGGACUGUGUGGGCCCAGAAGUAGAGAAAGCCUGUGCUGAUCCAUCAGUUGGGUCUGUCAUCCUGCUGGAGAACCUCUGCUUUUCAUGUACAGGGGAAAAGAUGCUUCUGGGAACAAGCUUAAAGCUGAGCCAGCCAAAAUAGAUGCUUUCCAAGCUUCACUUUCCAAACUAGGGGAUGUCUACAUCAAUAUGCUUUUGACGCUGCACACCGAGCCCACAGCUCCAUGGUGGGAAUCAGUCUGCCACAGAAGGCUGGUGGAUUUUUGAUGAAGAAGGAGCUGAACUAUUUUGCUAAGGCUUUGGGGAACCCAGAGAGAACUUUCCUGGCCAUCUUGGGUGGAGCUAAAGUUGCAGAUAAGAUCCAAUUGAUCAGUGAUAUGCUGGACAAAGUCAAUGAGAUGAUUAUUGGUGGUGGAAUAGCUUGUACCUUUCUUAAAGGGCUCAACAGCAUGGAGACUGACACUUUUCUGUUUGAUGAAGAGGGAUCCAAGACUGUUAAAGACCUGAUGGCCAAAGCUGAGAAGAAUGGUGUGAAGAUUACCUUGCCUGCUGACUUUGUCACUGCCGACAAGUUUGAUGAGAAUGCCAAGACUGGCCAAGCCACUGUGGCCUCUGGCAUACCUGCUGGGUGGACAGGCUUGGACUGUGGUCCCGAGAGCAGCAAGAAGUAUGCUGGGCUGUUGGUCAUGCCAAGCAGAUUGUAUGGAUGGACCUGGAGGGUAUGUGAAUGGGAAGCUUUUGCCAAGGGCACCAAAGCCCUCAUGGAUGAGGUGGUGAAGGCCACCUCCAGGGGCUGCAUCACCAUCACAGUGGGUGGAGUCACUGCUACUUGCUGUGUCAAAUGGAACACAGAGGAUAAAGUCAGCCAUGUGAGUACUGGGGGUGGUGCCAGUUUAGAGCUCCUAGAAGGUAAAGUCCUUCCUGGAGUGGAUGCUCUCAGCAGUAUUUAG